rnacentral:rRNA from 1 species
ACGGGUGAGUAACACGUGAGCAACCUGCCCUGGACUCUGGGAUAAGCGCUGGAAACGGUGUCUAAUACUGGAUAUGAGACGUGAUCGCAUGGUCGUGUUUGGAAAGAUUUUUCGGUCUGGGAUGGGCUCGCGGCCUAUCAGCUUGUUGGUGAGGUAAUGGCUCACCAAGGCGUCGACGGGUAGCCGGCCUGAGAGGGUGACCGGCCACACUGGGACUGAGACACGGCCCAGACUCCUACGGGAGGCAGCAGUGGGGAAUAUUGCACAAUGGGCGCAAGCCUGAUGCAGCAACGCCGCGUGAGGGAUGACGGCCUUCGGGUUGUAAACCUCUUUUAGCAGGGAAGAAGCGUAAGUGACGGUACCUGCAGAAAAAGCGCCGGCUAACUACGUGCCAGCAGCCGCGGUAAUACGUAGGGCGCAAGCGUUAUCCGGAAUUAUUGGGCGUAAAGAGCUCGUAGGCGGUUUGUCGCGUCUGCUGUGAAAUCCCGAGGCUCAACCUCGGGCCUGCAGUGGGUACGGGCAGACUAGAGUGCGGUAGGGGAGAUUGGAAUUCCUGGU